rnacentral:rRNA from 1 species
AACGCGAAGAACCUUACCUGGGCUUGAACCGCACAGGACCAUCUUUGGAAACAGAGACUUCCCGCAAGGGACCUGUGUAGAGGUGCUGCAUGGCUGUCGUCAGCUCGUGCCGUGAGGUGUUGGGUUAAGUCCCGCAACGAGCGCAACCCUUACUCGUAGUUGCUACCUGCAAAGGAGAACUCUACGAGGACUGCUCCGGAUAACGGAGAGGAAGGUGGGGAUGAGGUCAAGUCAGCAUGGCCUUUAUGUCCAGGGCUACACACGUGUUACAAUGCGCGCCACAAAGCGUUGCAAACCCGCGAGGGGGAGCUAAUCGCAAAAAAGCGCGCUCAGUUCGGAUUGCAGUCUGCAACUCGACUGCAUGAAGCCGGAAUCGCUAGUAAUGGCGCAUCAGAACGGCGCCGUGAAUACGUUCCCGGGCCUUGUA